UACAAAAACAUGUCUGUGUGAAUUUAGUUAUAAAGUCUAGCCUGCCCACUGAUUUAUUUAAAGGGCCGCGGUAAUUUGACCGUGCGAAGGUAGCAUAGUCAGUAGUCUUUUAAUUGGAGGCUUGAAUGAAUGGUUGGACGAGGGACAAGCUGUCUUUUGUAUGUAUUUUGAACUUAACUUUUGAGUGAAAAGGCUCAAAUUAUUUAGGGGGACGAUAAGACCCUAUAAAACUUUAUAUAAGUUUGGUUUAGUCUAUGAUUUAGGUAAAAAGUGGUUUUGUCUGGUUUAUAUUUCGUUGGGGAGAUGAGGAUAUAAAAUGUAACUGUCUGUUUAAAUUUAAUAGUUUUAAUUAGUUUGUGAUCCCCCUUUGGGGAUUAAAAGAGUAAGUUACUUUAGGGAUAACAGCGUGAUUUUCUUUGAGAGUUCUUAUCGACAAGAGUAGUUGCGACCUCGAUGUUGAAUUAAAGUUUCAGCUAGGUGUAGCCGCUUAGCUAGUGGGUCUGUUCGACCUUUAAAACUUUACGUGAUCU
rnacentral:rRNA from 1 species